UACGAGGGGUCCUAGCGUUGUUCGGAAUCAUUGGGCGUAAAGGGUGUGUAGGUGGCUAUGUAAGUCAGGUGUGAAAGCCCCGGGCUCAACCCGGGAAGUGCAUCUGAUACUGCGUAGCUUGAGUACCGAAGAGGAUAGUGGAAUUCCAGGUGUAGUGGUGAAAUACGUAGAUAUCUGGAGGAACACCGGUGGCGAAGGCGGCUAUCUGGUCGAGUACUGACACUGAGACACGAAAGCAUGGGGAUCAAACAGG
rnacentral:rRNA from 2 species